CCCCUCCCCCUGCUGCCUCCGACAGGCUCCGCGUCCCUGCUGCCCCACGGAAAACACACACAGUCCGCGGCACCCGCCCCGGCUACCCGGCCCAUUCAAACAAACAAACAGAAACCCGCCCCGUCGCAAAGCCAACCGACGGUAAACUUUCUAAUGACUUCUUCUUUCAAGUGCUUAAAAGGGGGGAAAAAUUAGCAGAAGGAGAUCAGAGAAGAUACACGAGGAGCAAGCAGCUUCCCCGAGACCUUUCACUGCGGAUCCGAGAGGGAACAUCAGACGCGUAAAAAAAGAAAAACAAAAAACAAAAACAAAAACCAAAAAGCCAAACAAAACAAAAAACCCAAACAAAACAAAACACAGCGUUCAAGCCAGCACAAGGCGAGCGAAAGAUCAAAAAGACGCAGAGGGAGACAGAUUAACUGGAGCAGCAGCAGCAGCAACAACAACAAAAAUCACACUUAAAAUAAUAAUAACAACAAUAAUAAUAAAACCCAAACCACCAACAAGGGAGAUAUUGUUUAAAAGGGCAAGCGAGAGAGCGAGCCGAAGAGCUGGUCUGACCGAGUGGAUCCGUGCAGCUUCUCCUGGGAUCGCCGGGAUCGCGCCGCUUCUCCGCUCCGCGUCGCGCAGCGUGCGGUGCCCUGCCCGCGGCGGGGGUCCCUGGGCGCCGCCACCGCAUCCGCGCCGGACUCCGGACCCUCCGCGCUGCUUUGAAAAUAAAAGCAUCUCGCUAAUAAUAAGCGGGACGGUGGGGGGAGAAGACUCGCAACAGUGGAGCUGCCAGCCGCGCACCCUCUGCCCGCCGCCCCCGGCUCCCUCCCCAGCUAUGCUCCGGGUCAACUUUGAUGGCACGUUGAGAAGCAGCGGGCGCUGAAGGGGGACAACCGAGCGGCGCGGAGCCGACCUGCUCAGAGACCUGCACCCACGGAUUGUCUUGCGGGGGCGGAGUGGGCGGGGGGGUACAAGUGGCAUUUCUCCCCCCCCCUCCUUCCAGGCUAUAAAUUGGAUUGUAUAUAAAUCUGCUUCGUUUAUCUCCCUGACCCCCCUCAAUGACGCUGGACUAGAGAGCUCCUCUCCGCGGCCCGCCCGGACCUGCCGAAGCGAGCGAUGGACCACGAGCGACUGCGCCCGGGGAUGCCCCUCUGAAGCGACGCGGGGCACCGGGGCAGAGCGGCGCCGCCUCUCCCCUGCUCCCCGGAUCCCCUCGCACCUCCGGCUCGCUCCCCGCUCCCCCUCCCUCCUCCCCGGGCUCCGCAGCCACCCCCUCACCUGCUGCCGUCCCCCUCCCCCGUGGAGCCGGGCUCUCUCCGUGCACGCCAAGCCUGUUCCCCCCCCGCC
rnacentral:lncRNA from 1 species